AUUAAUCCUUCUGUGUAGUGCUACUUUACAACUUCAUUUCCUUUCAGUUUUAGCAGCCUACCAACAUUAGGAUUACUUUCUCCAGAUAACCAUUUUUUUUCCCAGUGUAGGUUAAAUGCCUGUGCUGGGAAAAAAAGAAAAAAAGUAUUCUUAAGGGAAUUUAAAAUGUAAGCCUUUAUGUUCUGUAUUAUAUUUACUCAAAAUUCUGGGUGCAUGAAUAUAGUUAAUCGGAAUGUGCUAGGAGAGGAUAGUAGAGUGCCAAACCCUACCAGUGCCCAGCUGUACCUGGGAAGGUGUGAUUGAAUGGCUCCAGCUGCAUCCUGGGACUAGAGCAAACCCAAAUCAGCUGAAUUAGUUUUCUGUUAUUUUGGGGAUUCAUGGAGAUUAAGCCAAAAAAAAAAAAAAAAAAAAAAGAGAGAAUCACCACGGCUGCUUUGCUCCAAUUUCCUUCUUUUUACCAGGCGUCGUGCUCUCAGCUUCUUCUCCUUGUUCUCCUGCUCCUGGAAGGUGAGGGCCAUCAUUUCAACACGUGACAAUAGAGCUGCUUUGUAGGACAUGGUUGAAAUCCUUGAAGAGGGCCUUGUGAUGAACCUGUUAGAAAUUCUGUACUACUGCAAGGAGGCUAACAUAGACUAGAUGGAUCCCAUUCCUGUGCCUGCUCCUCUCCAUUUUAAAAGAGGACCCAAAAUGAGUAGCUCAGAUGUAGACAUCUGUUGUGCAGCUAUUCAAGCUCAGUCUUCCCAUUGUUUCCUUCCACGGAAGGGGCAAAGCACUUCCUGCAGAGCUCAGCAUGGUCUCCUGCCUCUCAGUGAUCUGGGGAAUGCGUGCUCAGAUGGCCAUUUCAGAAGUGACAGGAGCUGGCAAAGAAGAUGCCACGUCCUAACACUUUGUUUCUUUGGCAGUACUGUAGGUUGACCUUAUCUGGAUUCCCAACCAGCUGUGGGGGCAGUAACCUCAGAUGCACCAAACAGCCAAAGCCAGUGCUGCAGAACCUGUCCAAACAGUUUUUCUGCCAGUUGUUCAUGGCACUAUUCUGGUUCUCCUUUUACCAGUAAAUGAGCCCUUAUACAUGAACCAAUUUGUUCACAAACAUAGGCCCAUGGUUAGUGGGCACAGUGACGAUGGAUCAGAUGAUUGUAAUGGUAUUUUCCAACAACAGUGAUUGAUUCUAUAGAUCUUGUGAAGACUAGAAGGUAUGCACUGCACCUUCAUCACCACUUUGCAUAAGAAUACAUCUGAAAUCUGUUUUACCUCUUCGCAGAAUGUUUAUGUUGUCAAUGCCUGAGAAACAUAAACCCUAAACUAUCAGAAAACUAAUUUGGUUGAGUCUGUACCCAUUCAGGUAGGGGGAAAAAAUGAAGAAACUACAGUCAAGGUGAUGAAAGAGAGAGUCAAAAUAAGGUAUUUAAAUUGCAAUUUAUUGCAAAUUAAUAUUAAAAGCAGAUCCAAAAAUCUGUUGUGUGCAGCAACAGUCAACUCUAAUUCUUUCAGCUGAUCUCUCCUUCCCUGUAUUUUUGUUUAGUAAGUAACCCGUCAGCUCUGAUCAGGAGGGGGAUUUGUUUGUGCUGAGGCAACAAACAGCCCCACAGCUAGCAGCCCCACGGGGAGAGAAGUGGCAAGCUGCCAGAGCCCAGCACUCUCUGGCCAGGCCUUUUCAGAUAGUCCACAUGAGGAGGGCUUAAUGUUUCAAUAUGCAUUUUACCUGCUUGAAGGUAUUUGAUGAAACAGAGGAUCUUGAUGUAGCAGAUAAACUUACUGAAAUCACCACUCAAUACUGCAAUUGCAGUACAGAUGAGUGACAGUAAAAACAUGAUUCCCAUUACUGACUUUAUACACUCAUUGUCAGGAUGUCAGGCAUCCUAAUUGCCAGGAAGGAGCAUGUUGCUUGAAGCCAGCUCAAGCCUGUUGCUUUCUU
ensembl:lncRNA